CUGGGGGACACCCAUCCUUGACACGAGGAGAAAAAAGAGCUGACUCCCUUUCAAGAGACGAGAAAAUCAAGUUUUGUCUUCCCUUCCUAUUACUGUCAAACAAAAGUCACCUUCAGACUGCAGCGCGCAUGGGGUCCCUCGCUGGCAGGAAGCAGGGCCUUCCCUCGUGAAUGGAUAACUUACAACGUGUAUGUGUAUGUACCCGUCAGGAAAUGACCCACUCCGAUGACUGAGGAUGAGGAGCUCACGGGAAAUGCACACAGCCUCGUGUCUACGAUGCUGGGGUCACUGUGGAGCAAUAACACACCAAGAGCCACUUUGAUGUCAUAGAACUCUAGACCAGGGGAUGGCAAACUAUGGCCAGUCCCUAUUUGUAUAAACAAAGUUUGUUUUCUUAAUACAAACUUUUUUUAUUGUGGCAAAAUAUGUCUAAAAUCAGUGGCAUUGAGUACAUUCACGGUUGUGUAAUCGUCCCCUCUACCCACUUCCAGAAUUGUUCCAUCACCCCACACAGAACUCUGUACCACUAACC